CCUACGGGAGGCAGCAGUGGGGAAUAUUGCACAAUGGGCGCAAGCCUGAUGCAGCCAUGCCGCGUGUGUGAAGAAGGCCUUCGGGUUGUAAAGCACUUUCAGCGGGGAGGAAGGCGGUGAGGUUAAUAACCUCAUCGAUUGACGUUACCCGCAGAAGAAGCACCGGCUAACUCCGUGCCAGCAGCCGCGGUAAUACGGAGGGUGCAAGCGUUAAUCGGAAUUACUGGGCGUAAAGCGCACGCAGGCGGUCUGUCAAGUCGGAUGUGAAAUCCCCGGGCUCAACCUGGGAACUGCAUUCGAAACUGGCAGGCUAGAGUCUUGUAGAGGGGGGUAGAAUUCCAGGUGUAGCGGUGAAAUGCGUAGAGAUCUGGAGGAAUACCGGUGGCGAAGGCGGCCCCCUGGGCAAAGACUGACGCUCAGGUGCGAAAGCGUGGGGAGCAAACAGGAUUAGAUACCCGAGUAGUC
rnacentral:rRNA from 1 species